rnacentral:pre_miRNA from 1 species
AAACCCGUGGUCUCUAAUUAGCUUGGCGCAGCUCGGGUACUGGUUCCGUAGUUUCAUACUAAUGACGGAACAAUUAUUGGCGAAUAAUUGGUACCCGAAUGCAUCAAGCUUAUCAGAGUUCGCGAUUAAG